CACGUAGGGCGCGAGCGUUGUCCGGAAUUAUUGGGCGUAAAGAGCUCGUAGGCGGCCUGUUGCGUCCGCUGUGAAAGCCCGGGGCUUAACCCCGGGUCUGCAGUGGAUACGGGCAGGCUAGAGGUAGGUAGGGGAGAAUGGAAUUCCCGGUGUAGCGGUGAAAUGCGUAGAGAUGUGGAGGAACACCAGUGGCGAAGGCGACUUUCUGGGCUGUAACUGACGCUGAGGCGCGAAAGCGUGGGGAGCAAACAGG
rnacentral:rRNA from 1 species